AAAAAGAUAAGCUAAGAUUAAGCUAGUAGGUUCAUACCCUAUUUAUGGGGUCACCCUCUUUUUA
rnacentral:tRNA from 1 species